rfam:Kyrpidia tusciae DSM 2912, complete genome.
GGUCAUGAUGCGCUGAGUUCCGGACAACGGAAGCGGGGGACCCAGGACUUUGGGGUGAAUCCGGCCAAGGCCGGUAGGGUGGCUCUCGACCCGAACCCGUCAGCUAACCCCGUAAGCGAAAGGAGAGUGGAUAG